rnacentral:tRNA from 1 species
UCCCUGGUGGUCCAAUGGUUAGGACUCUGAGGCUACAGUGGCCACAGGUUCGAGUCCUGCUCAGGAAA